UACGUAGGGCGCAAGCGUUGUCCGGAAUUAUUGGGCGUAAAGAGCUCGUAGGCGGUUUGUCGCGUCUGCUGUGAAAACCUAAGGCUCAACCUUGGGCUUGCAGUGGGUACGGGCAGACUAGAGUGCGGUAGGGGUGACUGGAAUUCCUGGUGUAGCGGUGGAAUGCGCAGAUAUCAGGAGGAACACUGGUGGCGAAGGCGGGUCUCUGGGCCGAUAUCGACGCUGAGGAGCGAAAGCGUGGGGAGCGAACAGG
rnacentral:rRNA from 1 species